rnacentral:rRNA from 1 species
GACGAACGCUGGCGGCGUGCUUAACACAUGCAAGUCGAACGAGACCCUCUCUUCGGAGGGGUGUUCUAGUGGCGAACGGGUGAGUAACACGUGGGCAACCUGCCCCCGGCUCUGGGAUAACCCCAAGAAAUUGGGACUAAUACCGGAUAUGACCGCUGGCCGCAUGGUCUGGUGGUGGAAAGAUUUAUCGGCUGGGGAUGGGCCCGCGGCCUAUCAGCUUGUUGGUGGGGUAGUGGCCUACCAAGGCGACGACGGGUAGCCGGCCUGAGAGGGUGACCGGCAACACUGGGACUGAGACACGGCCCAGACUCCUACGGGAGGCAGCAGUGGGGAAUAUUGCGCAAUGGGCGGAAGCCCGACGCAGCGACGCCGCGUGGGGGAUGACGGCCUUCGGGUUGUAAACCUCUUUCAGCAGGGACGAAGCGCAAGUGACGGUACCUGCAGAAGAAGCACCGGCCAACUACGUGCCAGCCGCCGCCGUAACAC